rnacentral:rRNA from 1 species
AGCGAACGCUGGCGGCAGGCCUAACACAUGCAAGUCGAACGAACUCUUCGGAGUUAGUGGCGGACGGGUGAGUAACACGUGGGAACGUGCCUUUAGGUUCGGAAUAGCUCCUGGAAACGGGUGGUAAUGCCGAAUGCGCCCUUCGGGGAAAGGAUUUAUCGCCUUUAGAGCGGCCCGCGCCUGAUUAGCUAGUUGGUUGG